rnacentral:sRNA from 1 species
AACUUACUAUUGCAAAACGGAGGAAUGUUGGAUUUAUUUGCUUCGAUCCUGGGUGCGCACUGCGCAUGCGAGGGGCAAAAAUUAACCAAAAAAAAAGAGAGAGAGAGAGAGUAGAACAGAAAAGUGAUAAGAGAGAAUGAAUGGUGGACAUGAAGCUAAAACACUUUUAGGUUCGAGCUAUGCAUGUAGGAAUGUAUGGAUGUGCAACUGCAUGCGCCGCGAAUCUUGCUUGAAUCCUUACAGGAAAAAAAGAAAAAUGCACGAUUGAUUUGGAGAUCGUGGCGUGAAUUCAGCAACCAGUUAUGAGAGAGAGUGAGUGAGAAGGCGGCGAUGGGAAUGGCCGAUUAAACUUUCUUGUGUGCAUACAGAAAAAAAAAAAGAAAAAAAAAAAAACCAGCCCGCGGAGAGAGGGCCAGGUGAAAAUGCUGAUGGAGAGGUAAGGUAGAUGGAGGUUGAACGCGAUGGAUGCUAGCAUGCAGCCUGUCUCGCGCUGCAUAAAAGAAACCAUAAUUGUCGCGUACAGAUGACGGACCCGUGAAGAGACGCAAUUCUUCUCUCUCCUGAACAAAGAAUCGUUGACUGCAUGCUACGACCCGCCAUCCAUCUAUCCAUCCAACAACCCCAAUUCAACGUCCAGGGACGGCUAUCUCAAGACUUGCAAAAACUUAUGAAGGGUUAAAGGGAAAAUAAAACAGCAAAAAAACUCGGCGGUGAAGCAUGCACAGGAGAGGUUACUUUACUCUGUCCCAUGCAUCCAAUUCAUGAACACAGAACAGAAGAGCCUUGAGCGCUCCGCAACAAGUGGUAGCGCCCACCGACCCAGGACGAGAGGCAACAUUGCCCCCUUUUUUGACUGAAAUGGAAAAUGGCACGUUCAGGUCGGAGUACGUGAAGCUCGGCGCCUUGGCGGGGGCAAACCGGUAACUUCUCGUUGUCCAGCAUUCAGUGCGCAGUGUUGCAGGAGAAGGGGCCAAACUAAAAGUGGCUGGAGCGCUAAGAUGCAAGCGGAUUUCCGUGGGCCGUCUCAUGUUUUGAUAGCGACAGAGGAUGGGAUGGGACGAACUCCAAGGAGUUACCGGGGGGCUUUGGGCACAUAUUAUCAGGGUUGGGGCGGUUGAUGGUACCGGCAUGCAUCGAUGGUUCAAGUUUGACGGAAAGUUAAUCGCAUCAGGGUUCGUUUCUUCUCUCCCCCCUUCACUUCUCAAUUUUUUUUCUCUCUUCUUUUGUUGGGCUAUCACAAAAAUCAUUUCAGUGAAAAAUGGGCAUGGAAUUUGGAAUGCAUCACUAUCAAUAAUGAAAAAAAAAAAAAAAAAAAAAACAAAAACAAAAACAAAACAAAAAGGUGGAAAUAAGAGAGAUUUCCACUAAUUUGAUCCUCCUCAGGUCAAGGAAAAACCCACACAAGGUACUACUACUGUUUAAACUUCGCCUUGGUGCCGAGCUGGAACCCAACACCGUGGGAGGGAGAAAAUCAAAUUUUGCCAGAGGAAACGCCAGUGAGGUGGUGGUUGAAUCCAAAAAGUAUGAAACAUAAAUAUCAGUGGUCGACUGAACGAAGAAGGGACGGCUUUUCUUUCGAAUCUUGAAAUAAUACACUGUCAAUUUUUAUAAGUAUGUGUAGUCGGUAAUAAUCGCGGAUUCUUUUCUUUUGCAAAAAGGAUUCCCAAUCAUACAUCCAUAGUACGAUGUACGGAAGUACAGCACAAAUCAAUCAUGUUGGCAAG